rnacentral:rRNA from 1 species
ACGGCAGCGCGAGAGAGCUUGCUCUCUUGGCGGCGAGUGGCGGACGGCUGAGUAAUAUAUCGGAACGUGCCCAGUAGCGGGGGAUAACUACUCGAAAGAGUGGCUAAUACCGCAUACGCCCUACGGGGGAAAGGGGGGGAUCGCAAGACCUCUCACUAUUGGAGCGGCCGAUAUCGGAUUAGCUAGUUGGUGGGGUAAAGGCUCACCAAGGCAACGAUCCGUAGCUGGUUUGAGAGGACGACCAGCCACACUGGGACUGAGACACGGCCCAGACUCCUACGGGAGGCAGCAGUGGGGAAUUUUGGACAAUGGGGGAAACCCUGAUCCAGCCAUCCCGCGUGUAUGAUGAAGGCCUUCGGGUUGUAAAGUACUUUUGGCAGAGAAGAAAAGGUAUCCCCUAAUACGGGAUACUGCUGACGGUAUCUGCAGAAUAAGCACCGGCUAACUACGUGCCAGCAGCCGCGGUAAUACUUAGGGUGCAAGCGUUGUUCGGAGUUACUGGGGGUAUACCGUGUGUAGGCGGUUCGGAAAGAAAGAUGUGAAAUCCCAGGGCUCAACCUUGGAACUGCGUUUUUAACUGCCGAGCUAGAGUAUGUCGGAGGGGGGUAGAAUUCCACGUGUAGCAGUGAAAUGCGUAGAUAUGUGGAGGAAGAACGAUG